rnacentral:tRNA from 1 species
GAAGGUAUAGCUCAGUGGUAGAACACAUGCUUAGCAUGCACGAGGUCUGGGGUUCAAUCCCCAGUACCUCUG